ensembl:snRNA U2 U2 spliceosomal RNA
AUCGCUUCUCGGCCUUUUGGCUAAGAUCAAGUGUAGUAUCAAAAUCAUCCCUACAUCCUAAAACCCUAA